AGAACAGCAGUACUUGUGGCACCUUAGAGACUAACAAAUUUAUUCAGCAUGAGCUUUCGUGAGCUAUAGCCCACUGCUUCGGAUGCAUAGAAGAAACACGCAGACAGGAAAUAUU